rnacentral:rRNA from 1 species
AUUGAACGCUGGCGGCAGGCCUAACACAUGCAAGUCGAGCGGAUGAAGGGAGCUUGCUCCUGGAUUCAGCGGCGGACGGGUGAGUAAUGCCUAGGAAUCUGCCUGGUAGUGGGGGAUAACGUCCGGAAACGGGCGCUAAUACUGCAUACGUCCUGAGGGAGAAAGUGGGGGAUCUUCGGACCUCACGCUCUCAGAUGAGCCUAGGUCGGAUUAGCUAGUUGGUGGGGUAAAGGCCUACCAAGGCGACGAUCCGUAACUGGUCUGAGAGGAUGAUCAGUCACACUGGAACUGAGACACGGUCCAGACUCCUACGGGAGGCAGCAGUGGGGAAUAUUGGACAAUGGGCGAAAGCCUGAUCCAGCCAUGCCGCGUGUGUGAAGAAGGUCUUCGGAUUGUAAAGCACUUUAAGUUGGGAGGAAGGGCAGUAAGUUGAUACCUUGCUGUUUUGACGUUACCAACAGAAUAAGCACCGGCUAACUUCGUG